rnacentral:rRNA from 1 species
GAUGAACGCUGACAGAAUGCUUAACACAUGCAAGUCAACUUGAACUUCGGUUUGGGUGGCGGACGGGUGAGUAACGCGUAAAGAACUUGCCUCACAGAUAGGGACAACAUUUGGAAACGAAUGCUAAUACCUGAUAUUAUGAUUUUAGGGCAUCCUAGAAUUAUGAAAGCUAUAUGCACUGUGAGAGAGCUUUGCGUCCCAUUAGCUAGUUGGAGAGGUAACGGCUCACCAAGGCGAUGAUGGGUAGCCGGCCUGAGAGGGUGAUCGGCCACAAGGGGACUGAGACACGGCCCUUACUCCUACGGGAGGCAGCAGUGGGGAAUAUUGGACAAUGGACCAAGAGUCUGAUCCAGCAAUUCUGUGUGCACGAUGAAGUUUUUCGGAAUGUAAAGUGCUUUCAGUUGGGAAGAAAAAAAUGACGGACCAACAGAGAGGC